GGUGUGAUCCAAGCGUGGCAAUGUUGCUUUUGAGUCUUCGCUGUCAGCUCCUGCUAUAAUUGCGAAGCAGAAUUUUUCUAGGGUUGGAUUGUUCACCCACCAACAGGGAACGUGAGCUGGGUUUAGACCGACGUGAGACAGGUU
rnacentral:ncRNA from 1 species